UUCCAAGGAAUCAUAAAUCAUGCCAAAGCCAGUGGUCUUGCCACCACCAAAGUGGGUUCUGAAUCCAAACACAAAGAUGACAUCAGGUGUGGUCUUAUACAUUUUGGCUAGUUUUUCCCGAAUUUCUGUCUUGGGUACUGUUGCCUUCCCAGGGUGAA